rnacentral:RNase_P_RNA from 1 species
UGAGUUGAGUAGAGGGUCGCGUCCCGAUCGUAAUCCUACCAUCGGGAUGAGGAAAGUCCGGACUCCACAGGGCAGGGUGCUGGGUAACCCCCAGGAGCGGCGACGCUAUGGAAAGUGCAACAGAGAGUAGACUACAAUGCCUACUUUUAUAUAAGAAGUUGGGCGUUGUACAGGUGAAACGGUGCGGUAAAAGCGCACCAGUCCAUAAGGUGACUUAUGGAGCUUGGUAAACCCCAUCCGGAGCAAGGUAAAUGGGGGACAUAUACAGGCGUGCCCGUCUCGUCCCCAGGUAACCGCUUGGGAUGGAUGUUACCAUCCACCUCAAGCGGUUAC